AUUGAACGCUGGCGGCAGGCCUAACACAUGCAAGUCGACCGAUUGGCGGACGGGUGAGUAAUUUCUGGGAAACUUCCCGAUGGAGGGGGAUAACUACUGGAAAAGGUAGCUAAUACCGCAUACCAUCGGAUGUUCCCAGAUGGGAUUAGCUAGUAGGGGGGGUAACGGCUCACCUAGGCGACGAUCCCUAGCUGGUCUGAGAGGUUGACCGGUCACACUGGAACUGAGACACGGGCCAGACUCCUACGGGAGGCAGCAUUGGGGAAUAUUGCAAAAUGGGUGCAAGCCUGAUGCAGCCAUGCCGCGUGUAUGAAGAAGGCCUUCGGGUUGUAAAGUACUUUCAGCGAGGAGGCUUUACUCGCAGAAGAAGCACCGGCUAACUCCGUGCCAGCAGCCGCGGUAAUAC
rnacentral:rRNA from 1 species